rnacentral:rRNA from 1 species
CAGGUAGCCGCGGGAAUACGUAGGGUGCGAGCGUUAAUCGGAAUUACUGGGCGUAAAGCGUGCGCAGGCGGUUUUGUAAGACAGGCGUGAAAUCCCCGGGCUCAACCUGGGAAUGGCGCUUGUGACUGCAAAGCUAGAGUGCGGCAGAGGGGGAUGGAAUUCCGCGUGUAGCAGUGAAAUGCGUAGAUAUGCGGAGGAACACCGAUGGCGAAGGCAAUCCCCUGGGCCUGCACUGACGCUCAUGCACGAAAGCGUGGGGAGCAAACAGGAUUAGAGACCCCUGUAGUCCCUGUCUCUUAUA